UACGUAGGCAGCGAGCGUUGUUCGGAAUUACUGGGCGUAAAGAGUGUGUAGGCGGUGCUCCCAGUCUGUUGUGAAAUCUCCCGGCUUAACUGGGAGGGUGCAGCGGAAACUAGAGUGCUAGAGGGUGGGAGAGGUAAGCGGAAUUCCCGGUGUAGCGGUGAAAUGCGCAGAUAUCGGGAGGAACACCGGUGGCGAAGGCGGUUCUCUGGGCCUUACCUGACGCUGAGGAGCGAAAGCGUGGGGAGCAAACAGG
rnacentral:rRNA from 1 species